AAAUAUUGGGUACCCUAACAGUGCCACGUCAUUCGUGCUCUGAACCAUUCAUUGCGCGACACGUGUCCGGAUGUCAGUCCACGUCGUCCACCUCUCCGUUUCGAACCAGCGCGCGGGAGCUUCUCUCUCCUCUCUCCCUGGCCCACCUCUCUGCACCUUCUGACGCUCUGCUCUCCUCUGCUCCUCUGCUCUCCUCUCUCUCCUCUCUUUCUCUCUCCCCAUUCUCCGUUCCGUUGCGGGGAGGGAGAACAAAAUUGCGAUGGUUCAGAGCAAAACAUAAAGUUCGCUCUGCUCUCUCUCUUCCCCUUCGACGGCCCUCCACCUCUGACGCCGACGCCGACGCAGCCUACGCCUCCCUCUCGUGACCUCUGGUCGGCUUUAUCUCUCUUUCGUCCUCGAAGGCGCGCCUCUCUGCCAGCAAAUCGCGACGCCGACGCCCCUCCGCCGGUUGCCUCCGUCGUCCCCAACUCCGAGGCCGACUCCUCCGCCUCUGCCUCCGCCUACGCGGCCGACGCCGACGCCGACGCCCCUUCGCCUCCCUCUCGCGACCUGCGCUCCGCUUUCUCCCUCUUUUCUCUGCGGAGCGCCCUUACUGGCCAACCCCGACGCCGACGUGCUCUCGCGUUUUGGCCUCCCUCUCCGCGAGCGAAGGUCGCGCUGCUCGCUCUUUCUCUCUUUCCUCCACGAAGCGCCUCCUGCUCCUGAACGCGGACGCCGCCGACGCCGUCGCCUUCCCAAGCCCCACCGAUAGGCGGCCCAUUGGCGACUCCCGUACGUCCGAAGGAAUUGGAUGUGGCCAUAGUCAAAGCGACGAACCACGUCGAGUGCCCGCCCAAGGAGAGGCACCUCGGCAAGAUUGCCUUCGCGACCUUGGCGGUUCGCCCGCGGGCUGACGUCGCCUACUGUAUCCAGGCCCUCUCCAGGAGGCUCACCAAGACGCACAAUUGGACGAAAAAUAUUUAAAGACUAAAAAAAUCCGAGAAGCAGAAGAGGCAGCAUGGCGCUCAAGAAUAACAAAGACUGUUAUAAGGGUACGGUUUCCUGAGAAUCAUACACUAGAGGCCCCUGUCUCUUUUGAAACAUAUUUAUCUUGACAUGUUGUU